AAUCUCUUUUUUAGGUAAAAACAAAAGUUUUCCUUUUUCUCUGCUCUGGAAAACUUGCUGAGGGGAUACAUCUGACAAGGCACAAGAGUAGCUCGAUCCCCAGAGCCUCGUGUGGUGUCCCACUUGUCCUGACUGCUGGACCCUGCUACAGGAAAGGAGCCUGGAAUCCUGAGCUGCCUUGCUWUUGAGAUAUGAACAUCUGCAGAUGAGAACUUUACACAGGAAGUCGUCAGCCUCUACAUUCCCCUGCAAAGAGAGAGCAAAUGCUGCUCACCAACCCCUGCUCUGCAGUUUGGAAUAUCUCAGUCCUUUUCCACUGAUGAAUGAAGAUCCUAUAAUUGCCCAUAGCUCUCUGUAAGUGUCAUUGCUCUGUCACAGGACACUCAUUGUCACUGCAGUAGAUCUCACCAGGACAGCUUGUGGAUGCCAUGUCCACUACCAGCAAGAUGGUCAACACCACCUCACUGAGAACAUUUAACUUCAAAAUGUUAAAAAAAUUUCUGUCGCUGCUCCUUGA